rnacentral:rRNA from 1 species
GAAGAACGCUGGCGGCGUGCCUAAUACAUGCAAGUAGAACGCAGUUGCGAACGGGUGAGUAACGCGUAGGUAAAUGCCUCAUAGCGGGGGAUAACCAUUGGAAACGAUAGCUAAUACCGCAUACUGUGAGAUGGACCUGCGUUGUAUUAGCUAGUUGGUGAGGUAAAGGCUCACCAAGGCUACGAUACAUAGCCGGCCCGAGAGGGGGAGCGGCCACACUGUGACUGGGACACAGCCAAGAGUCCUACGGGAAGGAGCAGUAGGUAAGCGUAGGCAAUGGCGGGAAGUCUGACCGAGCAACGGCGCGUGAGUGAAGAAGGUUUUCGGGUCGGAAAGCUCUGUUGUUAGAGAAGCGGUAACAAACCAGAAAGGGACGGCUAACUACGUGCCAGCAGCCGCGGUAAUAC